AACAAACGCUGGCGGCGUGCCUAAUACAUGCAAGUCGAACGGGGUAGCAAUACCUAGUGGCGCACGGGUGAGGAACGCGUGGAUAAUCUGCUUUAGAGUGGGGGAUAACUAGUCGAAAGAUUAGCUAAUACCGCAUAAGACCACAGGAGCUGCGGCUCUAGGGGUCAAAGGUUUUUCGCUCUAAGAUGAGUCCGCGUAAGAUUAGCUAGUUGGUGAGGUAACGGCUCACCAAGGCGACGAUCUUUAACUGGUCUGAGAGGAUGAUCAGUCACACUGGACCUGGGACACGGUCCAGACUCCUGCGGGAGGCAGCAGUAGGGAAUAUUGCACAAUGGAGGAAACUCUGAUGCAGCGACGCCGCGUGAGUGAUGAAGGCCUUCGGGUCGUAAAGCUCUGUCGCAGGGGAAUAACACAAUGAAUGUACCCUGUAAGAAAGGAUCGGCUAACUUCGUGCCAGCCGCCGCCGUAAAAC
rnacentral:rRNA from 1 species